rnacentral:rRNA from 1 species
GCGGUAAUACGUGGAAGACUAGUGUUAUUCAUCUUUAAUAGGUUUAAAGGGUACCUAGACGGUAUUUCUAGCCCCCAAAGGGUACGGAUUUACUAGAGUUUUAUGUGAGAGGCAAAUAUAAGUACUAUUGGUGUAGAGAUGAAAUUCUUUGAUACUACUAGGACUGGUGGCGGCGAAAGCAACCCUCUAAGUAUAAACUGACGUUGAGGGACGAAGGCUUGGGUAGCGAAUAGGAUUAGAUACCCUAGUAGUCCAGGCAGAAAAUUAUGAGUGCCAUAGACUAGAUUAAAUAAUUUUGGUCUAUAAAUGAAAGUGUAAGCAUUCCACCUCAAGAGUAAUGUGGCAACGCAGGAACUGAAAUCAUUAGACCGUUUCUGAAACCAGUAGUGAAGUAUGUUAUUUAAUUCGAUAACCCUCGAAAAACCUUACCACAAUUUGUAUGUAAUAUAUGUAGUAGUCUAAUAAUUGUUUAGUUAACAACUACAUGUAUUAACACAAGCGUUGCACGGCUGUCUUCAGUUAAUGUCGUGAGAACUUGGUUAGAUCCAUUAAAUUAACGUAAUCCCUUUCGUUAGUUCUC